rnacentral:rRNA from 1 species
UAAGGAAUAUUGGUCAAUGGACGCAAGUCUGAACCAGCCAUGCCGCGUGAAGGAUGAAGGUCCUCUGGAUUGUAAACUUCUUUUAUCUGGGACGAAAACGGGAUUUUUAUCUCAAUUGACGGUACCAGAGGAAUAAGCACCGGCUAACUCCGUGCCAGCAGCCGCGGUAAUACGGAGGGUGCGAGCGUUAUCCGGAUUUACUGGGUUUAAAGGGUGCGUAGGUGGGCUUAUAAGUCAGUGGUGAAAUCUCCGAGCUUAACUUGGAAACUGCCGUUGAUACUAUAGGUCUUGAGUUAUCUGGAGGUAAGCGGAAUAUGUCAUGUAGCGGUGAAAUGCUUAGAUAUGACAUAGAACACCAAUUGCGAAGGCAGCUUACUACAUAUAAAUUGACGCUGAGGCACGAAAGCGUGGGGAUCAAACA